GACGAACGCUGGCGGCGUGCUUAACACAUGCAAGUCGAACGGAAAGGCCCCUUUUGGGGUACUCGAGUGUCGAACGGGUGAGUAACACGUGAGUAACCUGCCCUUUACUUCGGGAGAACUUCAUGAAACUGGGGCUAAUACCGGAUAGGGAUCCUUGCUGCAGGGUGGGGGUUGGAAAGCUUCUGCGGUGUUGGAUGGACUCGCGGCCUAUCAGCUUGUUGGUGGGGUAGUGGCUUACCAAGGCGGUGACGGGUAGCCGGCCUGAGAGGGCGAACGGCCACAUUGGGACUGAGAUACGGCCCAGACUCCUACGGGAGGCAGCAGUGGGGAAUAUUGCACAAUGGGCGGAAGCCUGAUGCAGCAACGCCGCGUGCGGGAUGACGGCCUUCGGGUUGUAAACCGCUUUCAGCAGGGGCGAAGCUUGUGGUGACGGUACCUGCAGAAGAAGCACCGGCUAACUACGUG
rnacentral:rRNA from 1 species